GACAUCACAUCUAUCUCUGUGACAGCAAAAAAAUGAGUCAAGGGAAAAGAUCUGGUCACCCACUGAAGCUAAGCAGGGUUGAGCCUGGUUAGUACCUGGAUGGGAGACCUCCUGGGAAAACUAGGUUGCUGUUG
rnacentral:rRNA from 1 species